GGAUGCGAUCAUAGCAGCACUAAAGCACCGGAUCCCAUCAGAACUCCGAAGUUAAGCGUGCUUGGGCGAGAGUAGUACUAGGAUGCGUGACCUCCUGGGAAGUCCUCGUGUUGCAUUCC
rnacentral:rRNA from 1 species